rnacentral:misc_RNA from 1 species
CCGAGUUUACAACUCCCAAACCCUUAUGUGAACCAUACCCUAUCGUUGCUUCGGCGGGACCGCCCCGGCGCCCUGAGCCCCGGAACCAGGCGCCCGCCGGAGGCCCCAAACUCUUGUUUUAUUCGCAGUUUUUUCUCUGAGUGUCAAAACAAAAUAAAUCA